AUGCACGCUGGCGGCGUGCCUAAUCCAUGCAAGUCGAGCGAACAGACGAGGAGCUUGCUCCUCUGACGUUAGCGGCGGACGGGUGAGUAACACGUGGAUAACCUACCUAUAAGACUGGGAUAACUUCGGGAAACCGGAGCUAAUACCGGAUAAUAUAUUGAACCGCAUGGUUCAAUAGUGAAAGACGGUUUUGCUGUCACUUAUAGAUGGAUCCGCGCCGCAUUAGCUAGUUGGUAAGGUAACGGCUUACCAAGGCAACGAUGCGUAGCCGACCUGAGAGGGUGAUCGGCCACACUGGAACUGAGACACGGUCCAGACUCCUACGGGAGGCAGCAGUAGGGAAUCUUCCGCAAUGGGCGAAAGCCUGACGGAGCAACGCCGCGUGAAUGAUGAAGGUCUUCGGAUCGUAAAACUCUGUUAUUAGGGAAGAACAAAUGUGUAAGUAACUAUGCACGUCUUGACGGUACCUAAUCAGAAAGCCACGGCUAACUACGUG
rnacentral:rRNA from 1 species